CUAUGAUGAAAUGUUUUGAAAGUUAACUUAGUUUGCUUUUUUAUUUAAAUUUGAAAUGUAAGAAAAAAGGUUGAUAAUAAUACAGCUCUGCUGUUCUAGAGUGGAAUGUUGGAUGAUUGUUGCUUCCUGAUUAACCGCUUCAAAGCACGCUGUUACUUAUCCCACCUCUUUUUUCUUAUUGGCACUACUCAAAAGCCAACAUUUUAAAGAUGGCUAUGAAUAGUUGCAUAUUGUUAAAAGGCAUUUUGAUUUGGUUAGGUUUUACAGCAGAUUAUAAUCAAGUACUUUCUGGUUUCCAUUUGGGAAUUAAAAUACACAUUUGUGAGUGCAAAACGGUUAAAUUCUCUAGCACCAUGAAGGAUUUUGGUCAUCCAUGGAUGUCAAAAAUAUCUUAUUUGUCAUAAAACACACAAAAUCUGUUAUUAAGUUGUGUCAUGGAGACAAUACAACAAUGUUUGGUCCUCUUAGUUUCAUUCACUUAGCUAAACUAAAUGAGGAGACAGAACCAGUUUUGCUUUCAAACUAGUGCAUUAGAAAUCUCUUAUGUUGCUUAACUUGGGUCAUACUCUUUGUCUAGAAUUUCCUGCAGUACUUUCUAGGAAUCCUAUCAGUGAAAUUGUGGAUUCUCUUGUCAACCUGAAAUCUAUCACAAAGGUCAAGAGUUCUGUUUUAGAUAUAUUAUUGAAUGCAAUUUCACUUGAUUACUCCUCAAGCUUUUCAAUUACUCUUGGUUCUGGCUUUCUGCGUCUAACUGCCAAUUUCAAGCUAUUGACUCGUCGCUCAAGUGCUGCAUUGAAUUAAAAGAGCUUCAACUUGCUCACAAUGAUACCAAAGUCUCCCAGCAGAGUUGUCUUACAAUAAAAAGACUUCAAAAUUUGGACUUGGGAAAUAACUUGAUCUCUGUAUGGUCGGAAUUGAAGGCACCGGAUUCAUUAGUCAAUCUAAAGAAUCUCAAUCUACAAUGAAAUCCUGUAGCUGAAAAGGAUAAAUUAGCAAAGAAG